AACGCACUUUGCACCUUUUGGUUAUUCCGAAAGGUACGCCUGUUUGAAUGUCACAAAACUCCCCUCGGCUUUAACACUUUCUAAAAGGGUUAUUGACGGAUUCUGAGUGUUGGCGUGUCAACGCCUCGCUUUAAAUAUAUCAGCACUUUUGGAUGGUUCCAUGUUAGUUCAAAAGACGUACUUGAUGUCGUAUUUAUACAAUUCAUCGAGAUGGUCUUUGGUCGUAUCGACUAUCCGCUAAUAUGAUGACUUGAAGAAUAGCUUCCUAACCCCAUUAAAUUUACCUUUAGACUUCAAAUCAGGUGGGACUACCCGCUGAACUUAA
rnacentral:misc_RNA from 1 species